UGGCGAUGACCUGAACCGUGUACGUACGGCGAAAUUCAUGAUGCAACUUCUUGCACGUGUGAGUGAGUUUUUGCCUACAUAGACACGUUACGUGCGAUGCUACUAGACCACCACUAGUUACUACCAGCUAGCUGUCACCAUAUCAGAAGCGUGUCCUAACCACGGCUGGGAGAAUUAACGACGUUUUAGUCAAGGUUUUUUAACGCUCAGUUUUUUUGUUUUCUCACCGUUUACGUUCCAUUUGCUAUUAUGAAAUAGAAAACUACCGUAACACCCUUGUUUGGUUUCCAAGGGGAAAACAACAUUUUAGCAUCCAUCGAGAAGGGGGCAAAACAGGGACAUUUGGGAGGAUUAAUGUGGGUGGAGGAGAGAGCCCCAAGGUUCUGUUCUCUUCAAACCACAAACACCACGUGACAGACCAAUACUCAAACAAAAA
rnacentral:lncRNA from 1 species